rnacentral:rRNA from 1 species
UUGUCUUAGUUGCCAUCAUUAAGUUGGGCACUCUAAAGAGACUGCCGGUGUCAAACCGGAGGAAGGUGGGGAUGACGUCAAGUCCUCAUGGCCUUAUGACCAGGGCUACACACGUACUACAAUGGCAGGUACAAAGGGCAGCCACUUAGCGAUAAGGCGCGAAUCCCGUAAAACCUGUCUCAGUCCGGAUUGGAGUCUGCAACUCGACUCCAUGAAGUUGGAAUCGCUAGUAAUCGCAGAUCAGCACGCUGCGGUGAAUACGUUCCCGGGCCUU